GGAGCUCCUGAGAAGAAUAUUCAUCUAUUCGCUGUCCAGUCAUGAAAGAUUUAUCCCUGGAAGCCUGUAGUCUGGUUGUACUGCCUGCUAUUAUGUGUUAACAAGCAUUACAGAUUUUCUGCAGAAGUUGGAAAGUCACAAUACGAGAAGUUGCACUCCAGCCCAAGGGCUGAGAAAUCGAAGGCAUCGGGGAAGAAGCGGUGGACGAGAGCACAGAAGGCGAGCCCAUCGGAC